rnacentral:rRNA from 1 species
UACGUAGGGGGCUAGCGUUGUCCGGAUUUAUUGGGCGUAAAGAGCGUGUAGGCGGUCAGGUAGGUCCGUUGUGAAAACUCGAGGCUCAACCUCGAGACGCCGAUGGAAACCAUCUGACUAGAGUCCGGAAGAGGAGAAUGGAAUUCCCGGUGUAGCGGUGAAAUGCGCAGAUAUCGGGAGGAACACCGGUGGCGAAGGCGGUUCUCUGGGCCUUACCUGACGCUGAGGAGCGAAAGCGUGGGGAGCGAACAGG